UGAUGCGAUCAUACCAGCACUAAAGCACCGGAUCCCAUCAGAACUCCGAAGUUAAGCGUGCUUGGGCGAGAGUAGUACCAAGGUGGGUUAACUCCUUGGAAGUCCUCGUGUUGCAUUCC